CCUACGGGUGGCAGCAGUCGAGAAUCAUUCACAAUGGGGGAAACCCUGAUGGUGCUAUGCCGCGUGGGGGAAUGAAGGUCUUCGGAUUGUAACCACCUGUCAUGUGGGAGCAAAUUAAAAAGAUAGUAACACAAGAGGCAGAGACGGCUAACUCGGUGACAGCAGCCGCGGUAAUACAGAGGUCGCAAGCGUUUAUCGAAAUUACUGGGCGUAAAGCGUGCGUAGGCUGCUGCGUAAGUCGGGUGUGAAAGGCGCGGGCUCAACCCGCGGACGGCACAUGAUACUGCGAGACUAGAGUAAUUGAGGGGGAACCGGAAUUCUCGGUGUAGCAGUGAAAUGCGUAGAUA
rnacentral:rRNA from 1 species